rnacentral:lncRNA from 1 species
CAGAGUUCUAGCCAGGAAAGUGAAUACCAGUCUGCAACUUCAACCUCAAUGGGUGACUAUCUGUGAAGCUCCUCUGCUGGGGGAGAGUGGGCAGCUUCUCCCUUGCCCACUGGGAGAAAAGGGAGUGACCUCGGCAAGACCAAUUCCUCCUCUUCCCUGUCCUCCUCCUCGCCUACUCCACAUGAAGACGACAAGGAUGAAGACCUUCAUGAUGAUCCAUUUCCACUUAAUGAACAGUUUGGAAAAUACUCAUCUUUGAUUAAAAAGUUGGAAAGAACUGACCAGGCGCGGUGGCUCACGCCUGUAAUCUCAGUACUUUGGGAGGCGGAGGCGGGCGGAUCACGAGGUCAAGAGAUCGAGACCACGGUGAAACCCCGUCUCUACUAAAAAUACAAAAAAAAAAAAAAAAAAAAAAAAAAAUCAGCCGAGCUCGGUGGCUGGCGCCUAUAGUCCCAGCUACUCGGGAGGCUGAGGCAGGAGAAUGGCGUGAACCCGCGAGACGGAGCUUGCAGUAAGCUGAUACCGUGCCACUGCACUCCAGCCUAGGUGACAGAGCGAGACUCCGUCUC